rnacentral:rRNA from 1 species
GACGAACGCUGGCGGCGUGCUUAACACAUGCAAGUCGAACGAUGAACCACUUCGGUGGGGAUUAGUGGCGAACGGGUGAGUAACACGUGGGCAAUCUGCCCUUCACUCUGGGACAAGCCCUGGAAACGGGGUCUAAUACCGGAUAACACUGCCACGGGCAUCUGUGGUGGUUAAAAGCUCCGGCGGUGAAGGAUGAGCCCGCGGCCUAUCAGCUUGUUGGUGAGGUAAUGGCUCACCAAGGCGACGACGGGUAGCCGGCCUGAGAGGGCGACCGGCCACACUGGGACUGAGACACGGCCCAGACUCCUACGGGAGGCAGCAGUGGGGAAUAUUGCACAAUGGGCGAAAGCCUGAUGCAGCGACGCCGCGUGAGGGAUGACGG